AUCUUUGAACGCACCUUGCGCUCCUUGGUAUUCCGAGGAGCAUGCCUGUUUGAGUGUCUGAAAUUCUCAACCUUUUCAGCUUUUUGUUAGUUGUUGCAGGCUGCUCAGAAGUCUGCUCUCCUUAAAUGUAUUAGCGGGGCC
rnacentral:rRNA from 1 species